CAAUCACCAUCACCAUCACUACCAUUAUCACCAUCACCACCACCACAAUCAUCAUCACCACAACCAACACCACCUCCACAAUCACCAUCACCAUCAUCACCAUCACCACAAUCAUCCUCACCAUCAUCCUCACCACCUCCACAAUCACCACCAUCACAAUCAUUAUCACUACCACCACAAUCAUCACCACCAUCAUCACCAUCAUCACCAUCACCACCACCAUCAUCACCAUCACCACUACCAUCGUCACCAUCACCACCACAAUCAUCCUCACCAUCAUCAUCACCACCUCCACAAUCACCACCAUCACAAUCAUUAUCACUACCAUCAUCACCAUCACCACCACCAUCAUCACCAUCACCAUUAUCACUACCAUCAUCACCAUCAUCACCAUCACCAUCAUCACUACCAUCAUCACCAUCAUCAUCACCACCUCCACAAUCACCAUCACAAUCAUUAUCACUACCACCACAAUCAUCACCACCAUCAUCAUCACCACCACAUCAUCACUACCAUCAUCACCAUCACCACCUCCACAAUCACCAUCACCAUCACCACUACCAUCAUCACCAUCACCACCAUCAUCAUCACCACCACAUCAUCACUACCAUCAUCACCAUCACCACCUCCACAAUCACCAUCACCAUCACCACUACCAUCAUCACCAUCACCACCUCCACAAUCACCAUCACCACCACAAUCAUCCUCACCAUCAUCAUCACCACCUCCACAAUCACCACCAUCACAAUCAUCAUCACUACCAUUAUCACCACCACCACAAUCAUACUGCCAUCACCACCUCCACAAUCACCAUCACCAUCAUCACUAUCACCACCACAAUCAUCCUCACCAUCAUCACCACCUCCACAUCAUCACUACCAUCAUCACCAUCACCACCACCAUAAUCACCAUCACCAUCAUCACCACCACCACAAUCAUCAUCACCAUCAUCACUACCAUCGUCACCAUCACCACCACAAUCAUCCUCACCAUCAUCGUCACCACCUCCACAAUCACCACCAUCACAAUCAUCAUCACUACCAUUAUCACCACCACCACAGUCAUAUCACUACCAUUAUCACCACCACCACAAUCAUCAUCACUACCAUCAUCAUCACCACCACAGUCACCAUCACCAUCAUCACUCCCAUCAUCAUCACCACCACAAUCAUCACCACCACAUCAUCACUACCAUCAUCACCAUCACCACCUCCACAAUCACCAUCACCAUCAUCACCACCACCACAAUCACCAUCACCAUCACCACUACCAUCAUCACCAUCACCACCUCCACAAUCACCAUCACCAUCAUCACCACCAUCCUCACCAUCACCACCACAAUCAUCCUCACCAUCAUCGUCACCACCUCCACAAUCACCACCAUCACAAUCAUCAUCACUACCAUUAUCACCACCACCACAAUCAUACUGCCAUCAUCACCACCACAAUCACAUCACCAUCAUCACUACCGUUAUCACCAUCACUACCACCACCACCACCAUCAUCACCACCACCACUGCAAUUGUCGUUGCCACCAUCAUCAUGGAUGUUUUUUGAUCUGACUCUUUGUUCUAG
rnacentral:lncRNA from 1 species